GAUGAAGAACGCAGCGAAAUGCGAUAAGUAAUGUGAAUUGCAUAAUUCGGUGAAUCAUCGAAUCUUUGAACGCACCUUGCGCUCCUUGGUAUAACGAGGAGCAUGCCUGUUUGAGUGUCAUGAAAUUCUCAACCUUUUCAGCUUUCUUUGUUGAUCAGGCUUGGAUGUGGGAGUAUGCGGGCUUCUCAGAAGUCGGCUCUCCUGAAAUGCAUUAGCGGGACCUUUGUUGCCUGGCUUUGGUGUGAUAAUUAUCUACGCCAUUGUAGUCAAGCAGCUCAAAAUGAGGUUUCAGCUUCUAACCGUCUCCCCUGAGACAACUUUUUGACAAUUUGACCUCAAAUCAGGUAGGACUACCCGCUGAACUUAAGCAUAUCAAUAAGCGGAGGA
rnacentral:misc_RNA from 1 species